rnacentral:rRNA from 1 species
GAUCAUGGCUCAGGACGAACGCUAGCGGCAGGCUUAACACAUGCAAGUCGAGGGGCAGCGCGAGUAGCAAUACUUGGCGGCGACCGGCGCAAGGGUGCGUAACGCGUGAGCAACAUGCCCGUAUCAGGGGGAUAAUCCAGGGAAACUUGGUCUAAUACCCCAUAGUAAUUUUGUAAGGCAUCUUAUAAGAUUUAAAGCUUUGGUGGAUACGGAUUGGCUCGCGUGACAUUAGCUGGAUGGUAAGGUAACGGCUUACCAUGGCUAUGAUGUCUAGGGGUUCUGAGAGGAAGGUCCCCCACACUGGAACUGAGACACGGUCCAGACUCCUACGGGAGGCAGCAGUGAGGAAUAUUGGACAAUGGAUGGAAAUCUGAUCCAGCCAUGCCGCGUGAAAGGAAGAAGGUCCUAUGGAUUGUAAACUUCUUUUGUAUGGGAGCAAUAAGGCCUACGAGUAGGUUGAUGAGAGUACCAUACGAAUAAGCACCGGCUAACUCCGUGCCAGCCGCCGC